rnacentral:rRNA from 1 species
UACACUCCUACGGGAGGCAGCAGUGAGGAAUAUUGGACAAUGGGUGGAAGCCUGAUCCAGCCAUCCCGCGUGCAGGAAGACGGCCCUAUGGGUUGUAAACUGCUUUUAUCUGGGGAUAAACCUACUUACGUGUAAGUAGCUGAAGGUACCAGAAGAAUAAGCACCGGCUAACUCCGUGCCAGCAGCCGCGGUAAUACGGAGGGUGCAAGCGUUAUCCGGAUUUAUUGGGUUUAAAGGGUCCGUAGGCGGACUGAUAAGUCAGUGGUGAAAUCCGACAGCUUAACUGUCGAACUGCCAUUGAUACUGUUAGUCUUGAGUAAGGUUGAAGUGGCUGGAAUAAGUAGUGUAGCGGUGAAAUGCAUAGAUAUUACUUAGAACACCAAUUGCGAAGGCAGGUCACUAAGUCUUAACUGACGCUGAUGGACGAAAGCGUGGGGAGCGAACAGGAUUAGAAACCCCAGUAGUCCCAUGA